CGAGCGAAGCAUAUUAGCAGAAGUUUUCGGAUGGAAGCGGAUAUGACUUAGCGGCGGACGGGUGAGUAACGCGUGGAUAACCUGCCUCAUACAGGGGGAUAACAGUUAGAAAUGACUGCUAAUACCGCAUAAGCGCACAGGACCGCAUGGUCCGGUGUGAAAAACUCCGGUGGUAUGGGAUGGAUCCGCGUCUGAUUAGCUGGUUGGUGAGGUAACGGCCCACCAAGGCGACGAUCAGUAGCCGACCUGAGAGGGUGGCCGGCCACAUUGGGACUGAGACACGGCCCAACUCCUACGGGAGGCAGCAGUGGGGAAUAUUGCACAAUGGGGGAAACCCUGAUGCAGCAACGCCGCGUGAGUGAAGAAGUAUUUCGGUAUGUAAAGCUCUAUCAGCAGGGAAGAAGAAAGACGGUACCUGACUAAGAAGCCCCGGCUAACUACGUGCCAGCAGCCGCGGUAAUACGUAGGGGGCAAGCGUUAUCCGGAUUUACUGGGUGUAAAGGGAGCGUAGACGGCUGUG
rnacentral:rRNA from 1 species